rnacentral:lncRNA from 1 species
CGGGGAUGGUCGGAGGCGGGCUGGGAUUGGUGGGCCGCCUCGCGCCGGCCCCGCCCCCCGAUAGUGGGGACUCCCGCCAGCAUGGAAGGACGGGCCCCCGAUCUCCGGCCAGUCAUGCUCCUAGCUCCCAGGCGGAACCACACUCCGACCCCGUCGCGCCGCUCCCCCCUCCCCCGGGUUUGUUUUCCUGCCCCGUGUAAUUACUCGAUUAUUGUGUCGGCAGUUUAUUGAUUUUUUCCCGCGGUGGUGUUUACCCCAGUUUUCCCGUUUCGCGCCGCGCUCGCCCGCUUUCCCGGGCCGCUAAAUGGUUUCGAGGGUUUUCUCGUAGUGACGGAUACCCGCCCGGCUAACAUGUUGACCGACGUGAAUCAUAUGGCAAGAAUGCCCGGCUCCAUUUACAACACUCAUCAGUUGACGCAUUUGAACUUGAAUCGAACGGAUCCAGAGGAUUUCCACUUUUCGAAGGUGCCAGAAAUACAAAGUGCUUUGGCCGGAAAGUCUUGUGGCAGUGAUGCAUGGCCAACAGAACAAGAAAUUAUGGUAAGGAUUAAAACCCUUCACUUUUCAUACACGUAUUUCGGGCAACAUAUUCAUUAGAGAGUUGGCCGUGAGAGUAUGGAUAAUUAGCCCACUGUCUUUUCU